CUCGUAGGUGGCCAACUAAGUCAGACGUGAAAUCCCUCGGCUUAACCGGGGAACUGCGUCUGAUACUGGAUGGCUUGAGUUUGGGAGAGGGACGCGGAAUUCCAGGUGUAGCGGUGAAAUGCGUAGAUAUCUGGAGGAACACCGGUGGCGAAGGCGGCGUCCUGGACCAACACUGACACUGAUGAGCAAAAGCCAAGGGGGAGCAAAACG
rnacentral:rRNA from 1 species